rnacentral:ncRNA from 1 species
AUUUUCUCUGGAGAGUUCCGGUCGGAUACGGUCGGGCGCCGAAGGUGCAGUCUGCUGUUCCUGCAAAGGCAACGAAUGGCAGCGGUCUCUCAGGCAAAAGGACAGAGCG